rnacentral:rRNA from 1 species
UGGGGAAUAUUGCACAAUGGGCGCAAGCCUGAUGCAGCCAUGCCGCGUGUAUGAAGAAGGCCUUCGGGUUGUAAAGUACUUUCAGCGGGGAGGAAGGGAGUAAAGUUAAUACCUUUACUCAUUGACGUUACCCGCAGAAGAAGCACCGGCUAAC